AAGUCCUUUAACAUAGUCCAGAGAGGCUAAGAAGGUGACGAUAAUUUGACGGGUUAAUUGUAUACUCGUACGCGUUCCCUUGCUUACACUGGCAGAGGGUUAUUUUUUG
rnacentral:misc_RNA from 1 species